rnacentral:rRNA from 1 species
UACGAAGGGGGCUAGCGUUGCUCGGAAUCACUGGGCGUAAAGGGUGCGUAGGCGGGUCUUUUAGUCAUGGGUGAAAUCCUGGAGCUCAACUCCAGAACUGCCUUUGAUACUGAAGAUCUUGAGUUCGGGAGAGGUGAGUGGAACUGCGAGUGUAGAGGUGAAAUUCGUAGAUAUUCGCAAGAACACCAGUGGCGAAGGCGGCUCACUGGCCCGAUACUGACGCUGAGGCACGAAAGCGUGGGGAGCAAACAGG